rnacentral:lncRNA from 1 species
AUAAAUCCUAAGGGGGUACUAGCUAAAAUUCAAAGAGACAAAAGAGACUUGAAAAAAACUACGGGAGUUGAAUUUACAAAAGAUUUCAUUCACUUCAACAACUCUAUAGCAACUAUUUUCUCUUCUCCUUUCUUUUUUUAUUCCUUUUUUUCUUUUUCGGAAGGAAUAUGUAUUGAUUGACAUCCUUCCAUUUUUUUCAUUCAUUUUUUUCUUUUUCGGAAGAAGUAUGUAUUGAUUGACAUCCUUCUAUUUUUUUCAUUCAUUUUUUUCCUUUUCUAUUUUCUAUUUUUAUUUUUAUUUUCUUUUUCUACCAACUUCUGAAAUAUUACAAACAUAAUUAUUCAACCACACACAACUCCAAACAAGACUCUUUCAACCCUUUGAAUAUGGUGAUAACAUUGUUUUUCACUUCUCGAUUUGUAUUGAG